rnacentral:tRNA from 1 species
UUCCUCCUUAGCUCAGUCGGUAGAGCGACGGACUGUUAAUCCGCAGGUCGCUGGUUCGAGCCCAGCAGGAGNCAG